AGUUGCUAUCAGAUUUUCGGAGGGACAAAAAGCGGGUAGCUAUUGACAAAUGCUUGGCAAGUAGUACACCAGAGUGGAUGAAAUGGAGUUUGCAAAUAAAGAGAUGACUCGAACGUAUGGAGAAGAUUGGAAAAGAAAAACAAGAAACAGAUUUGAAUUUCCACUUAAAACCCA